rnacentral:rRNA from 1 species
AUGGCGAGCAGGCCAGAAUCGUCAGCAGCGAAAGCCGCGGCGGCCGACUUCGAUCCCGUGUACGAGUGGGUCGACGGCGACGGCAGCUAUCUCCUCCGCCUCAACCUCCCAGGGUUCAAGAAGGAGGACUUCCGGGUGCACGUGGACCCCGCGGGCCGCCUGACCAUCCUCGGCCACAGAACGGCGGACGCCGGAGAUGGGAACGUGCGGCUGCACAGGGUGUUCCAGCUGCUAUCCACAUCCGACCUCGACGCAAUCACCGGCCGGUACGACGCCAACGUGCUCACGCUCACCGUGCCCAAGCUGCCUUCCGCCCCGGCCCCGCCCCCGCCCAGUGAGAAUGAGGCCUCGGACGCUGUCGGCGACGAACCGACGGAUAAGAAAUCCAAGGUUAGCCAGGAGGCGGAGCGGCUGAUCGAGGCGGUGAGGGCAAGGUUGCAGGGGAGGCACAAACAGGAGACGGCCAAGGACCAAACUGCAGCGAGUAGCAAGGAACCCCCGGCCAUGAAAGUGGACGACAGGAAACAGGAGCCCAAGGCAGCAGAAAAGGUGGUGAAAGGAGAUGAUGAUCAGGACCACAAGGAGAAGCUUGAGUAUGAGGCGGCGACGCAGAGGGAGAAGAAAGGCUGCUGGAAGGAGCGGGCGCCCGAGGAGGGGUUCAAGUGGGCGGAUACCAUAGGUAAGAACAAGGAGGUGAUCGCCGCCACCGCGGUCGCCGCCUUCACGCUAGGCGUCUUCGUCUCCCAUAGGCUCUUCUCCAGAAACUAG